GAUGAACGCUGGCGGCGUGCUUAACACAUGCAAGUCGAACGGGAUCGGCUGGAGCUUGCUCCGGCCGUGAGAGUGGCGAACGGGUGAGUAAUGCGUGACCGACCUGCCCCAUACACCGGAAUAGCUCCUGGAAACGGGUGGUAAUGCCGGAUGCUCCAGUUGACCGCAUGGUCCUCUGGGAAAGCUUUUGCGGUAUGGGAUGGGGUCGCGUCCUAUCAGCUUGAUGGCGGGGUAACGGCCCACCAUGGCUUCGACGGGUAGCCGGCCUGAGAGGGCGACCGGCCACAUUGGGACUGAGAUACGGCCCAGACUCCUACGGGAGGCAGCAGUGGGGAAUAUUGCACAAUGGGCGCAAGCCUGAUGCAGCGACGCCGCGUGCGGGAUGACGGCCUUCGGGUUGUAAACCGCUUUUGACUGGGAG
rnacentral:rRNA from 1 species